AUUGAACGCUGGCGGCAGGCCUAACACAUGCAAGUCGAGCGGAGCGGCGGACGGGUGAGUAAUGACUAGGAAUCUGCCUGGGAGUGGGGGAUAACGUCCGGAAACGGGCGCUAAUACCGCAACCUAUCAGAUGAGCCUAGGUCGGAUUAGCUUGGUGGUGGGGUAAAGGCUUACCAAGGCGACGAUCCGUAACUGGUCUGAGAGGAUGAUCAGCAACACUGGAACGGAGACACGGUCCAGACUCCUACGGGAGGCAGCAGUGGGGAAUAGUGUACAAUGGGCGAAAGCCUGAUCCAGCCAUGCCGCGUGUGUGAAGAAGGUCUUCGGAUUGUAAAGCACUUUAAGUUGGGAGGCGUUACCAGCAGAAUAAGCACCGGCUAACUUCGUGCCAGCAGCCGCGGUAAUUC
rnacentral:rRNA from 1 species